rnacentral:ribozyme from 17 species
AUAAAUAACAAAAAGCGAGAAGGAGAACGAAAAAGAAUCAACAAGAUUUACUUCUUUGCUUGUUGCGGAUGUUGUAUCAUCGUACGACUAUUUUAUUCUUCUUUUAUUCUUCCAAUAU